UUACACGUUAAUUUUUUUAUUGUAAUAUUUUCUAUAAGUUUGAAAUAUAUAUUUUUUCAAACAUAGAAUUUUAUUAUUUAAUUUAAAAAACAAACAAAAAUAAAACAAAUAUUUUUUUGAAUAUUCAGUUUUUAUUGAAAAAACUGUAUAUUUAAUGUACAUUUUUUCUAUUGUUUUUUUUUAAAUUGACAUUGUCUAUUAUUCAAAUGUCCAAUCUUUCAUUCACUUGAAGGUGACCCUGAUUUGACCCCACAGGAUUCUGCACAGGUGGAAGGAGGACUGGAGGCUCACACCUGUUCACCAUCUUCUCCUAAUUUUUGAGUUUGAACCAAAAAAAGGGGGUAGUGAAGAACCACACGAUACACGAAGGAAUAAAAGGUGUAAAGAUGAGCAGCUGCAGUGAAAACAAUCAUCAUCUUGUUCUCUACAUCCAUCCAGAAAUAUAUAUUCUCUGAAAACAAAAAAAAAAUCAUUUGGUCCUUACUAUUACUCGACUUCAACCUGUGAAGCUGAAGUUUUGACCUCAAAACGAAAGUUUUAAAGUGCUUCAAUAAAUUCAAUUUGAGCUUUUUUCUUGUAAAAGCUUUUGCGGCAUAGAAGUCUGAGAAAGACUUGUGGAGAAACCUUUCCGUCAAUCUGCAACAGACUUUUUAAUUGAAAGUGCAAAUUGCCGAAGUGACAUCUAGACCAAAAACAGCCCUCCAGCGGUGUAGCACAUU
rnacentral:lncRNA from 1 species